rnacentral:rRNA from 1 species
UAGGGAAUCUUCCACAAUGGGCGCAAGCCUGAUGGAGCAACACCGCGUGAGUGAAGAAGGGUUUCGGCUCGUAAAGCUCUGUUGUUGGAGAAGAACGUGCGUGAGAGUAACUGUUCACGCAGUGACGGUAUCCAACCAGAAAGUCACGGCUAACUACGUGCCAA